rnacentral:rRNA from 1 species
UGCUGCAUGGCUGUCGUCAGCUCGUGUCGUGAGAUGUCGGUUAGUCCGCUAACGAGCGCAACCCUCGCUGUGUGUUACAAGUGUCACACGGUACUGCCGGUCUUAAGCCGGAGGAAGGUGGGGAUGACGUCAAGUCAGCAUGGCCUUUAUGUCCUGGGCUACACACACGCUACAAUGGCCAACACAAUAGGUUGCUAAGCCGCGAGGUGGAGCCAAUCCUCAAAGUUGGUCUCAGUUCAGAUUGCAGGCUGCAACCCGCCUGCAUGAAGAUGGAGUUGCUAGUAACCGCAGGUCAGCUAUACUGCGGUGAAUACGUUCCCGGGGCUU